AAAUUGAAGAGUUUGAUCAUGGCUCAGAUUGAACGCUGGCGGCAGGCCUAACACAUGCAAGUCGAACGGUAACAGGAAGCAGCUUGCUGCUUCGCUGACGAGUGGCGGACGGGUGAGUAAUGUCUGGGAAACUGCCUGAUGGAGGGGGAUAACUACUGGAAACGGUGGCUAAUACCGCAUAACGUCGCAAGACCAAAGAGGGGGACCUUCGGGCCUCUUGCCAUCAGAUGUGCCCAGAUGGGAUUAGCUUGUUGGUGAGGUAACGGCUCACCAAGGCGACGAUCCCUAGCUGGUCUGAGAGGAUGACCAGCCACACUGGAACUGAGACACGGUCCAGACUCCUACGGGAGGCAGCAGUGGGGAAUAUUGCACAAUGGGCGCAAGCCUGAUGCAGCCAUG
rnacentral:rRNA from 1 species